rnacentral:rRNA from 1 species
AGCGAACGUUUGCGGCGGGCCUAACACAUGCAAGUCGAGCGAGAAGCCCUUCGGGGUGGAAAGUGGCGCACGGGUGCGUAACACGUGGAUAAUCAACCCUUUUGCCUGGGAUAACAUCGGGAAACCGUUGCUAAUACCGGAUAGUUCAAAGAGUUCAUCGGAGCUCAUUGGGAAAGACCCGCAAGGGUUACAAGAGGACGAGUCCGCGGCCCAUCAGCUAGUUGGUAAGGUAAAGGCUUACCAAGGCGAAGACGGGUAGCUGGUCUGAGAGGAUGAUCAGCCACACUGGAACUGAGACACGGUCCAG